rnacentral:lncRNA from 1 species
UUUUUUUUUCCCCUACUUGGCACAUUAUUUGUAAUGGUAUUGGAUUUUAAUAUAGGAAAUGUAUCUUAAACUGACAGAGCAAUUCCUUGACAAUCUGUAUUAGUGAAAUAGUGUUUUGGGGGCCUCCAGUUCUGGCUUGAAGUCCCCUAAUUUUAGCUGAUUUCAGUCCUCCACAGCUCCAGAGAUCUUUUCUUUGUUUCAUUUGUACUGGAAAAAAUCACAGCCUCCCAGAAAAACACCUUACAUAGCUUGUAAUGCACUUAGUCCCCGUAGGUAGGCUCUUGCUGUGUCAAGGUCUCUGGCUUAAUAAUAAUCCUGCAAUUUUAUUCUAUAAAUUUUCUGGCUUGAUAGGGGCUUUGCUGAUUAAUGUUGUCAGAAUGGGAUGUGCUGAAAAACACCUUCUGAUGCAUUACAUGAAGGGCUCAAUCUAACAGAUGUACAAGAUCAGUUUAUUGUCAUGUUCUUUUACCAGGAAAAGUCAAGACUCUGGGCUAAAUCAAUCGUGCAAUUUGUUUAAUAUGAAGUUUGAUUUUGCUUGAGUCAGACCUCACCGGUCUUUUUCUUUCUCUAAGGCAUGCUAAUAAGUUUCUUUUUAAGUUUCCGAUUUCCUUUUUUUUCUCCUAGAUUUGCUUCUCCUGCUGUGAGUGAGUUAUUUGAAGGAUAUUUAUUCAUAAAGUAGGUUCUUUCCUGUCUGGACUGAAUGAAAAUAUCUUGUGGAUUCUUCUGACUUUUUCAGAAGUAUUUUGAUCCGAACACUUUAUGUACAACAAAAGUCUCACAACUACUGAGCAGGUGCAUUUGCUUUGAUGAAACUUCUAAAUCUUGUGUUAUGAAAUAUGGAAAUGCUCUGGUGUCCAGGUCGAAAAUAUAAAGAUACUUAGAUUUAAUACGCAAGAAUUAAAUCUUCAAAAAAACCCCACAUUACAUCCUUGCAGAAAAUAGAUCUUUAUCCGGAAACAUCAUGUUCAAAGGAUCUAGUUUUGAACAUGGAUAAAAGAGAUGUCUAUGAUAAUUCAUAUUGGGUUCCUGGUUAUUAAGAAACUAUGUCUAUAAUUACAUAUUCUGGAAUUAAAUCCACACCACUAACUUUUUUUCUUUUUGUAACUGCUGCCUGGUUAUCCUUGUGCUGUCUACAACCAGUUGAAAAGGGGUCUUCAUGCUCUGCAAUGUUUUACAUGAUGUGUUGGGUGUAGGUGUUGGCAAUGGAGGGGCUGCAGGGUCAGCUUCGGAGAGGAGAGGCCGGGGCUGCCCCACGCUGGCUCCAACUCACCCACCACAGGGCACAGCCCGGCAUCUCAGCCAAAAUAGCGGCACCUUGGGGCCAUUUUUUGUCACCAUUUCUCAUUACCAAGAUCUGUUUUAGCUGGCAAUAAAUGAAACUAAUCCUCCCCAA